GUCUGUCUGUAACUGACGCUGAGCUCGAAAGUAUGGGUAGCAAACAGGAUUAGAUACCUGGUAGUCCAUACCGUAAACGAUGAAUGCUAAGUGUUGGAGGGUUUCCCCCUUCAGUGCUGCAGCUAACGCAUUAAGCAUUCCGCUGGGGAGUACGGCCGCAAGGCUGAAACUCAAAGGAAUUGACGGGGGCCCGCACAAGCGGUGGAGCAUGUGGUUUAAUUCGAAGCUGCGCGAAGAACCUUACCAGGUCUUGACAUACUAUGCAAAUCUAAGAGAUUAGACGUUCCCUUCGGGGACAUGGAUACAGGUGGUGCAUGGUUGUCGUCAGCUCGUGUCGUGAGAUGUUGGGUUAAGUCCCGCAACGAGCGCAACCCUUAUUAUCAGUUGCCAGCAUUAAGUUGGGCACUCUGGUGAGACUGCCGGUGACAAACCGGAGGAAGGUGGGGAUGACGUCAAAUCAUCAUGCCCCUUAUGACCUGGGCUACACACGUGCUACAAUGGAUGGUACAACGAGUUGCGAACUCGCGAGAGUAAGCUAAUCUCUUAAAGCCAUUCUCAGUUCGGAUUGUAGGCUGCAACUCGCCUACAUGAAGUCGGAAUCGCUAGUAAUCGCGGAUCAGCAUGCCGCGGUGAAUACGUUCCCGGGCCUUGUACACACCGCCCGUCACACCAUGAGAGUUUGUAACACCCAAAGUCGGUGGGGUAACCUUUAGGAACCAGCCGCCUAAGGUGGGACAGAUGAUUAGGGUGAAGUCGUAACAAGGUAACCA
rnacentral:rRNA from 1 species